rnacentral:rRNA from 1 species
ACAGUGAUCUAUGCAUGGCCAGAGUGAAGCGCAGGUAAAAUUGCGUGGAGGCUCGAACUCGUGAGCGUUGAAAAGCUUUGGGAUGAGCUGUGCAUAGCGGAGAAAUUCCAAUCGAACGUGGAGAUAGCUGGUUCUCCCCGAAAUAGCUUUAGGGCUAGCCUCAGGAAGUAAGUAUGAACGGUAGAGCACUGGUUGGGCUAGGGGCCGUAUUGGUUACCGAACCCUGUCAAACUUCGAAUGAGCAUACUGUAACCCUGGGAGUCAGACUGCGAAUGAUAAGAUCCGUAGUCAAAAGGGAAACAGCCCAGACCGCCGGUUAAGGUCCCCAAUGCCGUGCUAAGUGGCAAAGGAUGUGCAGUCGCAAAAACAACCAGGAUGUUGGCUUAGAAGCAGCCACCAUUUAAAGAGUGCGUAAUAGCUCACUGGUCGAGGGAUUGUGCGCCGAAGAUGUCCGGGGCUAAAGCACGGAACCGAAACCGCGGCUUUGCAUGAAAAUGCAAGGGGUAGGGGAGCGUUCUUAGCGGGUAGAAGUCGCUUUGUAAAGAGCGGUGGACUGCUAAGAAGUGAGAAUGUUGGUAUGAGUAGCGAAAAGAAAGGUGAGAAUCCUUUCCACCGAAAGCCUAAGGAUUCCUGAGCAACGAUCGUCGUCUCAGGGUUAGUCGGGGCCUAAGCCGAGGCAAAAAGCGUAGGCGAUGGACAACAGGCGCAAAUUCCUGUACCGGUCAAAAUCGAUUGAGCAAUGGAGUGACGCAGCAGGGUAGGCAAGCGCCCGAAUGGAAGUGGGCGUUUAAACAUGUAGAGAGGCAUCAAGGCAAAUCCGGAUGCCUGAAACUUAAGGUGUGACGACGAGUGAGUAGAGAUACAAACGAAGUUGCUGACCCCACACUGCCAAGAAAAACUUCUAGUGAGAAAUUGACCGCCCGUACCGUAAACCGACACAGGUAGGCGGGGAGAGAAUCCUAAGGUGCGCGGGAGAACCCUCGUUAAGGAACUCGGCAAAAUGUACCCGUAACUUCGGGAAAAGGGUAGCCCCUAAAAGUGAAGGAACGAAACGUCUGGAGCUUGUGGGGGUCGCAGAUAAGAGGCCCAGGCGACUGUUUACCAAAAACACAAGUGUCUGCCAAAGCGCAAGCUGAAGUAUAGAUGCUGACACCUGCCCAGUGCCGGAAGGUUAAGGAAGGAUGUUCGGGCAACCAAAGCAUUCGACCGAAGCCCCGGUGAACGGCGGCCGUAACUAUAACGGUCCUAAGGUAGCGAAAUUCCUUGUCGGGUAAGUUCCGACCCGCACGAAAGGUGUAACGAUCUGGGCGCUGUCUCAACGAGGGACCCGGUGAAAUUGAAAUACCUGUGAAGAUGCAGGUUACCCGCGACUGGACAGAAAGACCCCAUGGAGCUUUACUGUAACCUGGCAUUGUACUUUGAUGCAUCAUGUACAGGAUAGGUGGGAAACUGAGAAAGAUUGGCGCCAGCCGAUCUGGAGUUGCCGUUGGGAUACCACCCUUGAUGUAUCGGAGUUCUAACCGCAGGAAUAACAAACCUCGGGACAUUGUCAGGCGGGCAGUUUGACUGGGGCGGUCGCCUCCCAAAAAGUAACGGAGGCGCCCAAAGGUUCCCUCAGCGCGGUCGGAAAUCGCGCGCAGAGUGUAAAGGCACAAGGGAGCUUGACUGCGAGACAGACAAGUCGAGCAGGGACGAAAGUCGGGCUUAGUGAUCCGGUGGCGUCGAGUGGAAGAGCCAUCGCUCAACGGAUAAAAGCUACCCUGGGGAUAACA